GGGCCCGUAGCUCAGCCUGGAUGAGAGCGGCGGCCUCCUAAGCCGUAGGUCGUGGGUUCGAAUCCCACCGGGCCCG
rnacentral:tRNA from 1 species